AUUUAUUUAAUUUAUAUAUAGAUUUCAUCCCUUUGCUUGUGGUUGUUUGUUAACAUAAAUUUUUUUUUCCCACAAACUGAUAUGGAAUUACUCGUACCGAUUUGUAUUAAAAAAACAAAUGACCAGUGUAAAUAGUAGGAAGACAUAGUGAAAUGUCACUUUCCCUACAUUCUAAAAUUAAUGUAUAUAUUAUUGUGCACAUGUACAAAUAAAAAAAAAAUUAUUCUUAUUCUUAGUGAUGAAAGUGAAUAACAUCUGGUUUUUUAUUCACAAGAUGUUUAAUUUUUAAUCAAAGAAAAAAAGAUUUGAUGUAAUGUUUUAUCUACAACCAUUUUAAUUUUUUUUAAAUAUACUUCCUAUAAAAUGGACUGCUCAAACUGUUGCCCUUGUCUUCCUGUGGUUGAAGGAUGUUGCUUUUGUCAUUCAUUAGAAACUGGGACUAAACUGAUUGCAAUAUUUGAAAUUGUGUAUAAUUUGGCACUCAUUGCUUCAGAAGGCACACUUAUGGCAUAUCUUCCUACUAUUGGGCAAGCUAGUGCUGGUUUUGAUGUGCUUUUGGAUGUUAUGAUGGUGGUAGCAUCUGUAUUACUUUUGAUAGCAUUGAAUAAUAUUUGUGUGGACUAUGUUUCAGAAAAUGAUGGAGCUAGUCAAUCUUUGGUUGGUCUGUGAGUUUAUAUUCAUAAUAUCAGGUGCCAUUCAUUGCUUCGCAUUGAUGGUUGAACUUUUGCUUGGGCAUCUUCCUAAGAAAAUUGGAUCACUGUUUUUACUAUUCCACGUCUUAAACGAAGUGUUAAGUUCCUACUUCUUUAUAGUGGUUUACAACUAUUACCAAGAAGAGUUCAUCAAUCCAUAAAAUUUCUUCCCCUGUGAAUUGCUCAUUGUGGAAAUAUAAUGAUUUUAACAAUAAAAAA